CCUACCCGGGAAGCUCCUACGGAGGACCAGCCACCGCCCUUGAACUCACUGGGGCCUGAAGCUUCCCCUGGCCAACACAAAGCCCUGCUGCAGGAGGAGACCAAAGAGCCCAAGGAGACAAUGUACCUGGAGACCUGUAGGAGACCCCAACUCUCGACUCUGUAAGAAACAACCUGGGGGGAGUGAUGGACUGGUACCUGGCCCCCCGGUUGGCCACCCCCGGCUUAGGACAAAGGUGUGUGCAGACACGUCAUGCAUGUCAUCGCAGAGAGACAGCGCUGAGCAGGAGAAUGAGAGCAGAUAAGGAGAGUCCAGGGAAAGAGAUUGAGCUUUUGUUCAGGGAGGAUAAUUACUGGUAAAGAGAACAAAUGGGGAGUUCAAAUGCAAGAUUGUGGACAUACUUAUGUUGUGGUUACAGUAAAAAAAAUUGACUAACAA